rnacentral:rRNA from 1 species
GAUGAACGCUGGCGGCGUGCUUAACACAUGCAAGUCGAACGAAGCAUAUAUUAUGAAGUUUUCGGAUGGAUUAAUUUAUGACUUAGUGGCGGACGGGUGAGUAACGCGUGGGUAACCUGCCUCAUACAGGGGGAUAACAGUUGGAAACGACUGCUAAGACCGCAUAAGCCUACAGUGCCGCAUGGCACGGAAGGAAAACAUUUAUUGGUAUGAGAUGGACCCGCGUCUGAUUAGCUAGUUGGUAAGGUAACGGCUUACCAAGGCGACGAUCAGUAGCCGACUUGAGAGAGUGAUCGGCCACAUUGGGACUGAGACACGGCCCAAACUCCUACGGGAGGCAGCAGUGGGGAAUAUUGCACAAUGGGGGAAACCCUGAUGCAGCGACGCCGCGUGAGUGAAGAAGUAUUUCGGUAUGUAAGCUCUAUCAGCAGGGAAGAUAAUGACGGUACCUGACUAAGAAGCCCCGGCUAACUACGUGCCAGCAGCCGCCGCGG